rnacentral:rRNA from 1 species
CACGUAGGGGGCGAGCGUUGUCCGGAAUUAUUGGGCGUAAAGAGCUCGUAGGCGGCGUGUCGCGUCGGCCGUGAAAACCUGCAGCUUAACUGUGGGCUUGCGGUCGAUACGGGCAUCACUGGAGUUCGGCAGGGGAGACUGGAAUUCCUGGUGUAGCGGUGAAAUGCGCAGAUAUCAGGAGGAACACCGGUGGCGAAGGCGGGUCUCUGGGCCGAUACUGACGCUGAGGAGCGAAAGCGUGGGGAGCGAACAGG